rnacentral:rRNA from 1 species
CCCUUAGAUGUUCUGGGCCGCACGCGCGCUACACUGAUGCAUUCAACGAGUCUAAAACCUGCUCUGAUAGGGGUGGGUAAUCUUUUGAAUGUGCAUCGUGAUUGGGAUAGAUGAUUGCAAUUUUUCAUCUUCAACGAGGAAUGCCUAGUAAACGCAAGUCAUCAGCUUGCAUUGAUUACGUCCCUGCCCUUUGUACACACCGCCCGUCGCUCCUACCGAUUGUAUGAUCCGAUGAAUAUCAUAGACUGAGAGUAUAAGCAGGUUCGCCUGUCUUUGCUUCUCGGGAAGUGAAGUAAAUCUUAUCAUUUAGAGGAAGGAGAAGUCGUAACA